rnacentral:rRNA from 1 species
UACAGAGGGGUGCAAGCGUUUAAUCGGAGUUACUGGGCGUAAAGGGCGCGUAGGCGGUUAUAUAAGUGAGAUGUGAAAUCCCUGGGCUUAACCUAGGAACUGCAUCUCAUACUGUAUGACUGGAGUAUUGUAGAGGGUAGUGGAAUUUCCGGUGUAGCGGUGAAAUGCGUAGAGAUCGGAAGGAACACCAGUGGCGAAGGCGGCUACCUGGACAAAUACUGACGCUGAGGUGCGAAAGCGUGGGGAGCAAACAGG